rnacentral:rRNA from 1 species
AUUGAACGCUGGCGGCAGGCCUAACACAUGCAAGUCGAGCGCGCGGCGGACGGGUGCGUAAUGUCUGGGAACCUGCCUGUUGUAGGGGGAUAACUACUGGAAACGGUAUCUAAUACCGCAUACCCUCAGCUGUUCCCCGAUGGGAUUAGCGAGUAGGUGGGGUAACGGCUCACCUAGGCGACGAUCCCUAGCUGGUGUGAGAGGUUUACCAGCCACACUGGAACGGAGACACGGUCCAGACUCCUACGGGAGGCAGCAGUGGGGAAUAUUGCACAAUGGGCGCAAGCCUGAUGCAGCCAUGCCGCGUGUGUGAAGAAGGCCUUCGGGUUGGAAAGUACUUUCAGCGGGGAGGCGUUACCCGCAGAAGAAGCACCGGCUAACUCCGUGCCAGCAGCCGCGGUAAUAC